UGUUACAUUGCUUUAUGUAGUGCCCACAAGUGUGUGGCGUCUGAUGCCGUAUGUACAACACUGUACUAGCCAGUUUAUUUACAGGUAUUGUUGUCUAAAUAGUGGGCCUAUGGGUUGUGUGCGACUCAUCGUGCUGGGCAGCUUGGUUAUCAGCCUCAUGCGGGUUUUACCUAUGGAUUGCUGCUUAGCUGCGCCAUAGAUUAGAGGUGUCGGCUUUGUCAUUCAUAAGGUGGGAUGCUAAAGCUAGCUGGUUAAAAAUUGUUUGGGUUAUGACAAGGGGGGGGAUUAGUACGUGAGUGACUAGGAUGUUUAAGGAACCAACCUUUCGUGGUAUAAUGGCUAGUCGGCUUUGCUGUACUGUAGGGGUUCAGGGGUGCCUUUGGCUGCAGCCAUGGCCACGAUGUGAGCAUGGCUAAAGG